GACGAACGCUGGCGGCGUGCUUAACACAUGCAAGUCGAACGCUGAAGCCCUGGCUUUUGUUGGGUUGGAUGAGUGGCGAACGGGUGAGUAACACGUGAGUAACCUGCCCUCUUCUUUGGGAUAACGCCCGGAAACGGGUGCUAAUACUGGAUAUUCACUGAUCUUCGCAUGGGGGUUGGUGGAAAGGUUUGUUCUGGUGGGGGAUGGGCUCGCGGCCUAUCAGCUUGUUGGUGGGGUGAUGGCCUACCAAGGCUUUGACGGGUAGCCGGCCUGAGAGGGUGACCGGUGACAUUGGGACUGAGAUACGGCCCAGACUCCUACGGGAGGCAGCAGUGGGGAAUAUUGCACAAUGGGCGAAAGCCUGAUGCAGCGACGCCGCGUGAGGGAUGGAGGCCUUCGGGUUGUAAACCUCUUUCGCUCAUGGUCAAGCCGCAACUGUGGGUUGUGGUGAGGGUAGUGGGUAAAGAAGCGCCGGCUAACUACGUG
rnacentral:rRNA from 1 species